rnacentral:rRNA from 1 species
GACGAACGCUGGCGGCGUGCUUAACACAUGCAAGUCGAACGAGACGAUUUAGAAGCUUGCUUUUAUUGAGUCGAGUGGCAAACGGGUGAGUAACGCGUAGACAACCUGCCGUAAAGAUGGGGACAACAGUUCGAAAGGACUGCUAAUACCGAAUGUUGUAGAGUUUCCGCAUGGGAAUCCUACUAAAGAUGGCCUCUACUUGUAAGCUAUCGCUUUACGAUGGGUCUGCGUCUGAUUAGCUAGUUGUGGGGCAACGGCCUACCAAGGCGACGAUCAGUAGCCGGUCUGAGAGGAUGAACGGCCACAUUGGAACUGAGACACGG